GACGAACGCUGGCGGCGUGCUUAACACAUGCAAGUCGAGCGAUGAAGCACCUUCGGGUGUGAAUUAGCGGCGAACGGGUGAGGAACACGUGAGAAAUCUGCCUUCAACUCUGGGAUAACUCCGUGAAAACGGGGCUAAUACCGGAUAUGAAACCUGCGGGCAUCCGCGGGUUUGGAAAGUUUUUCGGUUGAAGAUGAUCUCGCGGCCUAUCAGCUUGUUGGUGAGGUAAUGGCUCACCAAGGCGACGACGGGUAGCCGGCCAGAGAGGGCGACCGGCCACACUGGGACUGAGACACGGCGCAGACUCCUACGGGAGGCAGCAGUGGGGAAUAUUGGGCAAUGGAGGAAACUCUGACCCAGCGACGCUGCGUGCGGGAUGAAGGCCUUCGGGUUGUAAACCGCUUUCAGCAGGGAAGAAGCGAAAGUGACGGUACCUGCAGAAGAAGCACCGGCUAACUAUGUGCCAGCCGCCGCCGUAA
rnacentral:rRNA from 1 species